rnacentral:rRNA from 1 species
AAGGUUUUCGGAUCGUAAAGCUCUGUUGUUAGGGAAGAACAAGUGCGAGAGUAACUGCUCGCACCAUGACGGUACCUAACCAGAAAGCCACGGCUAACUACGUGCCAGCAGCCGCGGUAAUACGUAGGUGGCAAGCGUUGUCCGGAAUUAUUGGGCGUAAAGGGCUCGCAGGCGGUUUCUUAAGUCUGAUGUGAAAGCCCCCGGCUCAACCGGGGAGGGUAUUGGAAACUGGGAAACUUGAGUGCAGAAGAGGA